rnacentral:rRNA from 1 species
UUCCGGUUGAUCCCGCCGGAGGCUACUGCUAUUGGGAUUCGACUAAGCCAUGCGAGUCAAGGUGUCUUCGGACGCCGGCGUACGGCUCAGUAACACGUAGGUAACCUACCCUCAGGACUGAGAUAACCCCGGGAAACUGGGGCUAAUAUUAGAUAGAUAAAAGGUACUGGAAUGUUCUUUUAUCCAAAGCUUUUGCGCCUGAGGAUGGGCCUGCGUCCGAUUAGGUUGUUGGUGGGGUAAUGGCCCACCAAGCCUGCGAUCGGUACGGGCAGUGAGAGCUGAAGCCCGGAGUUGGGGACUGAGACAAGGCCCCAGGCCCUACGGGGCGCAGCAGGCGCGAAACCUCUGCAAUGCGGGAAACCGUGACAGGGGGAUCCCAAGUGCUCAUGCAUUGCAUGGGCUGUUCUUUGGUCUAAGUAACCAGAGGAGUAAGGGCCGGGCAAG